CACUUGUGCUGCAUUCCCACUUCCCGUAAGUUCUCCGACCUCUCUCCCUCUGCCCGCUGUCUCCGAAGCAAUCGAGGCGGCGGCGGCGGCAACGAGGGUCCUAUUACUCCACCGCACGUGAGUUCUGGUAUCCUCCCUCUGUGGCCGGCCGAGGUGUCUCUGUCUUUCUGGACCAUUGAAGUGAAGCUGGCUGCCUUCAAGAGUUUGCUGAAUAGUCAUGUGUACUAUGAGUUGCCAAUAUCAUGGGAUGGCUUUGGAGUGGAGGAUAUUGCUACUAAAUUAAGAACAGUCUCAGUGUGCAUAACUUCAUCCACCUGGACUGCCAACUAAUUAGGCCAAUCAUAAUCUGGAAAAGAAAUUUGUAUGACUAGCAGGUAAGCAUAAUGAUCAGCAAACAACUUCUGCUGACUUAUCUACUCAUUUACGUUUGUCUCUCAUCCAGAGUUAUCUUGCAUAACAAGGUGGCCUGUUCCUUCGAUGAAUGUUUUUACAUUGGAUUGAACAACAUAAAGACAAAUUAACAAUGAUUUUUCUUCUUCGUAACAAACAUUUGGAUAUGUAUUUUUACUAAUCACUUAAUAACUUGUUAGCUUUUGAUAUAUGACACUUUGAGAUUUGUCUGAA